GUGAUUACUGAGAAAUUGAUUUAUAUUUAUUUUUAUUACUAUUAUUAUUAUUUUUACUUCUCACUGACACCUGGUGAACUUGUUCUCUGAUGACCCAGAGUUAUUUUAGUCAGGGUGUCCCUGACCUCCUGCUGGUAGAUUAAUUACAGAUUAAACGUUGUGUUUUCAAAACUAAAUGACAAAUCUGGACACAUAACAGGGGCAGAAAAAAAUCAGAACGAGAGGGGAUGUUAAGAAACGAAACAAGACAUUGCAAAAGGGAGUUAUCAGAAAGAAAGGAGAAUGUAGGAAAUGCAAUUGGGACAGAAUUUCAAGAAAAUAAGGAUAAAGGGCAGGAGGGCUAAAAGGAGGGCAAGAGGGAGGAAGGGAAGGAAGGAGUUUUGGUUUUGAAUUCCCGGGCAAGGCUUCAGCCGCGCCCUUAACGCCACAGCCUUCCAAGUUGAGACGAAAGCCACCUCCUCAGGCCUGCGUCGCACCCAACUUACUCCAAGUUUUCUGGGGACUCCUCCAGGGCCCCUUCUCGUCCCCACCCCCCAGCGAGAUUGACAGUCGCGUGGAGGAGGUUUUUCCAGGCACAGCCUUUCUCAUGGCUCAACUCUGAAUGGAUUGGAUUGCGACUUUGCACGUGAGAAACCGUUUGGCUUGGCUUGGACCCCUUCGGCCCCGCCUCGCCCACCCCCGUCAACACAUCCCUAAUCCAGGGUCCCCUUAUCACCCUUUGCUUGAAAAUCUACAAUAAAUUGCCCACCUCCUGCGUAACAA